ACGAACGUUUCGAAAGGAACGCUAAUACCGCAUACGUCCUACGGGAGAAAGCAGGGACCUUCGGGCCUUGCGCUAUCAGAUGAGCCUAGGUCGGAUUAGCUAGUUGGUGAGGUAAUGGCUCACCAAGGCGACGAUCCGUAACUGGUCUGAGAGGAUGAUCAGUCACACUGAACUGAGACACGGUCCAGACUCCUACGGGAGGCAGCAGA
rnacentral:rRNA from 1 species